rnacentral:rRNA from 1 species
GACGAACGCUGGCGGCGUGCCUAACACAUGCAAGUCGAGCGAAUGAGGUUCCUUCGGGAACGGAUUUAGCGGCGGACGGGUGAGUAACACGUGGGCAACCUGCCUCAUAGAGGGGAAUAGCCUUCCGAAAGGGAGAUUAAUACCGCAUAAGAUUGUAGUAUCGCAUGGUACAGCAAUUAAAGGAGCAAUCCGCUAUGAGAUGGGCCCGCGGCGCAUUAGCUAGUUGGUGAGGUAACGGCUCACCAAAGCGACGAUGCGUAGCCGACCUGAGAGGGUGAUCGGCCACAUUGGGACUGGGACACGGCCCAGACUCCUACGGGAGGCAGCAGUGGGGAAUAUUGCACAAUGGGGGAAACCCUGAUGCAGCAACGCCGCGUGAGUGAUGACGGCCUUCGGGUUGUAAAGCUCUGUCUUCAGGGACGAUAAUGACGGUACCUGAGGAGGAAGCCACGGCUAACUACGUGCCAGCCGCCGCUGUAAAAC